rnacentral:rRNA from 1 species
CACGCAGGCGGUCUGCUAAGUCCUUUGUGAAAGCCCGGGGCUCAACCCCGGAAUUGCAUCGGAUACUGGUAGACUGGAGACUGGUAGAGGCUAGCGGAAUUCCUGGUGUAGCGGUGGAAUGCGUAGAUAUCAGGAAGAACACCUGUGGCGAAGGCGGCUAGCUGGGCCAGUUCUGACGCUCAUGUGCGAAAGCGUGGGGAGCAAACA